rnacentral:rRNA from 1 species
GCCAGCCCGCUCAGAAACUUAAAGGAAUGACGGGGCCCGCACAAGCGGAGGAGCAUGUGGUUUAAUUCGAUGAUACGCGAGGAACCUUACCUGGGCUCGAACGUAAGAUGACUGUAGGUGAAAGCUUACAUCUCUUCGGAGCAUUUUACGAGGUGCUGCAUGGUUGUCGUCAGCUCGUGCCGUGAGGUGUCGGGUUAAGUCCCAUAACGAGCGCAACCCUACCUUUAGUUGCCAUCAGGUAAUGCUGGGGACUCUAAAGGAACUGCCUACGCAAGUAGUGAGGAAGGCGGGGAUGACGUCAAAUCAGCACGGCCCUUACGUCCAGGGCUACACACGUGCUACAAUGGCCGAUACAGAGGGCAGCUACCUGGUGACAGGAUGCAAAUCUCCAAAGUCGGUCUCAGUUCGGAUCGGAGUCUGCAACCCGACUCCGUGAAGUUGGAUUCGCUAGUAAUCGCGCAUCAGCCAUGGCGCGGUGAAUACGUUCCCGGGCCUU